rnacentral:rRNA from 1 species
GACGAACGCGGGCGGCGUGCUUAACACAUGCAAGUCGAACGGGUCUGCCUUGUUUUUUGCGGGGUGGGUUAGUGGCGAACGGGUGAGUAACACGUGAGUAACCUGCCCCUCACUUCUGGAUAACCGCUUGAAAGGGUGGCUAAUACGGGGUGUUCUGGCUGUGCCGCAUGGUGUGGCUGGGAAAGAUUCACUUUUGUGGUGUUUUGGUGGGGGAUGGGCUCGCGGCCUAUCAGCUUGUUGGUGGGGUGAUGGCCUGCCAAGGCUUUGACGGGUAGCCGGCCUGAGAGGGUGGGCGGUCACACUGGGACUGAGAUACGGCCCAGACUCCUGCGGGAGGCAGCAGUGGGGGGUAUUGCACAAUGGGCGGAAGCCUGAUGCAGCGACGUCGCGUGAGGGAUGGAGGCCUUCGGGUUGUGAACCUCUUUCGCCGGUGAAGAAGGUCCUGUUCUUUGUGGUGGGGCUGACGUAGCCGGG